UUUAGUUCAGACUGUGGCUGAUUCGGGUCGCUCUCGUUGUGUUUUCAGAGGACGUCUUGUCGAAGGACGCAGGAGAAUGUGCAAUAUGUCUGGAGGAGCUGGUGCAGGGAGACACCAUCGCACGCCUGCCCUGCCUCUGCAUCUAUCACAAAGGCUGUAUUGACGAGUGGUUUGAAGUGAACCGGUCGUGUCCUGAGCAUCCGUCAGAUUAGCACGCCUCUCACACCUUUGCACAGCCUCCUGGUGGUGAGAAGCGGCGUGAUGUGAAUUCUCUUCCUCCUCAUAGACACUGUGACUCUGGUCUCGGGACGGCCCGCCCGCCCGCCGAACGCCCCUCACUUCUCGUAGCACGGCCAUAUAAGCCCUAGCGUGCCAAAACUCAUUCAGGGAAACUCUUUCCACGUCAGUCCGACAGAAAGCCCGGCUUCUGCUCCAGCUCACCAUCGUCCAAUCAGGUGAAGGCGGCGGAUCUUAGGAAGUUCGUUUCAUUGGCCGGACUCAGGGUCAGCUGACUGUGUGGAUAACUAGCGGACGACGGCUGGUAAAUGGUGUCUCUCAGUGCCUUAAUUUUCAGAUCCCACGGGCCGAAGCGAUGGACUCGGAGAAAGACGGCUGGACAUGACGGGACGUGAGCCCUGAUUCGGGUCGGCCCUGAGCCAUACUGACAAGUGCCCUGUCUUUCGUAACGGCCACGCAGCCGUUUUAUCUCUUUCGCUCUUUCUUCCCGGAUGGAGGAAUGUCCCAUGCAUCUGGAGUCUCGUAGCAAUAUCUGUGCUAACUGAUUAUGAAGAUUCACUGUAGCCUGUCACGUGACGUCCGCGCCGUCUCAAGAUCAUUUAUGCAAGUGCAUCGCGUUUUAUUUGUUUUGACGAAUCUGGGCCUUAAUUCAACACAUGACUGACUUUCUGUGUCUCUUUAUGUAGGUUGAAUAUUAUCAAAAUCAGAGGAGGGGGAAAAAAAAUACAAAAUGAUAUUUUGCAUUAAGAAAAUAAAGUGUUUAGGUGGAUUAUUAAUAAUGCAAUUAUUUUUUUAUUGAAAUCUGUGUAAUAUAAAUGGCAGCGCAACAAAUGCUGCCAUAAUUAGUUUAAUAAAUUGACAUUUAUUGUACUACUAAUAAUUUAUGCAGAUUUUGUAAUAAAAAAAUUACAUUAUAUUUAUAUAAAUUAAUAUAAUUGAAUAAAUGUACAACAAAAUUCCUACAAUUUUUCUUCUUCGGUAUAAGCAUUUGUGCACUUAUAUUAAUCAUACAGCCAUUAAAUGCUGAUUUUAAAUUUUUUUUAAUCAUUGUAUUGCAGUAAUAAAAAAAUAAUAAUAAUGAUUAAAAAACUCGCAAAACUCAAAGUAAAACUUUGUUAAAUCUGCAUAAUUUACAAAUACUACAAUAAUUAAUAUAUUAAUAUUUAAGCAAUGCCAACAAAAGUAAAAGUUAAUUUCUUGAGGGCCCUAAAAUGCACUUUUUCUUUAUGCAAAAUAUAAUUAUAAAAUGAUUGUAUUUUAUUUUAAGAUUUUGUGGUUAGCAGGUUUUGUGAGGCUUCACCCGUUCAGUGUUUUCUGGAAGCUGUAGAGUCAUGUGACGUGUCACGUGACGUCAUUUAGGGCUCCUUCACGUUUAAAAACAUUGUACCUGCAUCAAGAGUCAAACAUGACGACGUGUGAUCACCCAUCAGGCUAAAGGAUUCUCGUUUCACCUUCAAUCCAGGAAAUUAAUUCGCAGGAUUAAGAUUUGUCACAACGACACACAUUCUCUGUAGUAGUCAUACUGCUCUUAAUUUAUGCAGAUUUACAUAAAAAAAAAACCCGUUGUAUUCCAGUAAUAAACGCUGAAAAUAAUAUCUAAAUGCAUUACAGCACUGAUGCAAAAUGUGCAAGAUUUUUGCAAAGAUAUCGUCACAAAUCUUAAUGCUCCCCCCAAAAAAAAAAAUACACUUUCCUCAUGUAAAAUAUCAUUUCUUUUGCUAUUUGUGAUGAAAUGUGAUUCAGGCGAGUGAUUCACCUGAGGUUUGAUUCUCUUACGAUCUUUGGGGUUUUAUCAGCAGUUUAAUGUAAAUCAUAGAGCCAGAACGGUGUGUGUGUGUGUGUGUGUGUGUGUGUGUGUGUGUGUGUGUGUGUGUGUGUGUGUGUGAUCGUUAGCGUAAACCCUCUGGGUCACAUUUCAGCUGCUUUUCUCGACAUCCGCGUAAUUUUCUUUUGGGAGAAAGGUGGUCGUUCUCCAGUAGGGCUUGACGUUUCAGACGGACGCGCUGCUAACUAGUUACUAAUCACAGAUUUAGUUUUCGGUUAGAGAUCGUUCCCAGUCUCAAGUCAAAGCCUCACGCGGUUGAGUUCAUCUGAAGGCUUAGCUUCGGUCAGCUGUGUUGAAUUUGACCUGUGAUAGUCAACCUGGCAUAUCAAAGGUGCCAUAAUAGCUUUAAAAUGCUGCUAAUCAUGUAUGUCGACGGCCACAGCAGCUUUUCUGGUCACGCGAGAUGAUGUAUACCACGUGUCGCACCACUUUUUAACAAAAAGCCUUACCAGAUAUCAUUUAGGUAAAUAAUGAAUCCAUGUUUUGCUGCUUUUGUGCAAACUUCUGUUUCCAGCAGAUCUGAGCCCGAUGCAUCCGACCGGAUCCGUGAUUGUCAGUCAGAGCUUUCCAGACUCAACACUGGGUGUGGUUUCUGUUUAAUUUGCGGCCGAGCUCCAUCAGGUACCAACUAGUCCCUCACGUUAACUUCCUGAAGAGAUGCAAGCAGGAGCUGAAUCUCGACGUGAAGGGUUAACAGCGGCCACCAGGAGGAUCAUAAAGGGGUUUUUAAUGAUUUCGAGAUAUUGUAACAUUCCAUACAUGUAAAAAACAACUGUACAGAGAUAAUGAGAUUAAAAAAAAAGAUCUUUAUAUGCUUGUUUGGAUGUCCUUCUGUCUGAUUGUGAUUUUUAAUCAUCUUUAGUGCAGUGAAUGAACAAUUGAUUGAUAACAGCACCAUUAUGGAGCAAAUACAUGUGUAAAAUAUUUCAAAUCCUAAUAACACUUGAAGCCCUUGUGUAUAAUGCUUUAUAAGCACAUUCAUAAUGUGCAUUGUGAUGCAUUAUAUUAAUUGUACAAUAAUUGUAAGCAAAGUUAAAAUGCAUUCGAAUAUUAUGAAGCAUUCGUUGGUGGUUUUGCGUUUGAAUGCAUUUCACUUUAAGGCGUGACAAUAAUCGAAAAGUAUUGUAAUUAUGCUUGUAAUUGCGAGCCGUAGUUAAUGCAUUAAAAACAGCGAAUAAGAGUCUGAUACAGAGAGCCUACUUUCAUACCUGCGUGUAUUUUCAUUGCAUUUGUAUUAAAAACAACCAAAAAAACAUUAGGUAGGAAAAUGUAAGCUGUGAAUCAUGUGCCAUUAACAUCAACGUCAUCAUUUGUAUCGAUGCACACGGACAGAAACGCGUAUAGAGCGUUUCACUUUUUGCUUUUGAAUAAAGUUUUGUAGGUUUGACGUGUAAAAUAACUGGGUAACAGCUGUAAACCUUAAUAUUUUCACACAGAGGACAACUGUUACAAAAGGUGAAAAUAUGAAAACAUUUACUGAUGCUCGAGAACGCCGUGCAUUAAAAGAUGGGGGGUGUAAACUUCUGAACAGGACGAUGACUUGUAAAUUCUAAUUUUGCUUAACAAUCAUGUUUUUUCAUUUAGUACUGGACAUCAGAAGCUAUAUGAAUACUCUCAUGUUUCCCAGAAGACUAAAUAAGUGCAAUGUACCUCUGAUCUCGCUUAAAGAGUUGACCCCCAGCUCUUAAUGCAUCGUGUGGAGCAUGUUUUGUAAAAGUUAUGCAUGACUCCCUCAGUUGUCCCCGGAGUUAAAAGAUGACCUUCACAAUCAUAUGCGGAUGCUUUAAAACCAAAGGAUGUUCAGGAGCUGGAUCAACACAGGACUCCCUUCAAUAUCACACAUAGGUACAGUUCAAGGGUGUGUAAACUUUUGUGUGUUAUUUUUAUAAAUGGAGUUAUUUUGGCUUGCGUACGUGUAAACAUCUGCAACGUGAAACGGCUUGUUCAGGACAAUCCUACAUAUAAAAAACAUUUUUUAUGAGCCCUCUUGAUUUCUUUCAACCUUUUUACAGAAAGUGCAAAAUGUUAACUCAUGAGCAUAAGCUUCUGUUGUCAUCAUUUGGAUAAAACCAUCUGCUAAAUGUUGUUUUUUUUAACCUAGCUCUGUAUGGUUCUGGCAUGUUCAUGAGUACAGGAGCUCAGUAUCGGUGCAUCCCUAAAAAUGUUUUAAUUAUUACCAAAGAGUUUCAUCUAACUGGGUUUUGUUCUGGUGUGAAACCCCCGGCUGACCGUUUCGAAUCCAGCUGUGCUUCUGUUACUGAAGUAAACCGAUUGCUGUGACGUAACACCAACUUCCUCCUUUUCUCAGUCUUUUCUCAGAUCACGUGUUUUGCUGGUUCCUCUCAGUGGAAGCGAAGCCUCUUGUCGCCCUCGUAGAGUCGCUCUUCUUCUUCUGAGACGCUGCUUCCUUUAAUACUGUGAACGGACCAGGAAAUGUGAAACUUUAAACCCUGAUCACGUGAGAUGCAUGAGAAAAUC